AGCCAGGCAAUGCCAUGUUGACUUCCAUUUACGUCAAAGGAGCUUUCAUUUGCAUCUGCAAUGACAGCCACAGAUGACAGAACUCAAGCCCUGGGGUGGGACAGGCAAUGAGAAGAGUCAUUCAUGUCAUGCCAGGAGCGUGAUGUGAUGCCAAGCAGGGGGAUUCAAAUGCAAUAGUGAGGCAGGAAGCUGCGGCCAGAAUGUUUUGAAGAGAAGGAAAUGAGACAUUCAUGGGAACGAUUCUCAUUGAAUUCUGCUUUGAGAUGCAAUGCUCAAGCUCCGGAGUAGUAGCAGAAGGGGAUGCUGUGGUGUUGGAGGUGUUUGCAUUCAACGAACCGCCAGGUUGCCUGUUUAAUGACAAGAACAAUAAUUAAUCACACUCUCAUACUUUUCCAUUUCACGCCACCUUUGAAAAGUCUUAACGUCUACUCAUACUCCUGCCUGCUCUCUGUUCAUCACAAAAUGUUUCACUUGAGGAUGGAAAAACAGCCAAAAAUCUUCUUCCUGACUUCCUUAGCUUAGAAGUCGUCAGGCUCUCAUAUAAGUAGCUAAAACUAAAGGAAUGGAAUAAAGAAGUGAUUCAUAAAAUGACAUUAACUGUCGGAAAUUCUGACCAAUCCAUUCCGUGUGCUACAGAUUCACAUUUCGUUUAUUCCUGUGAUUGUAUUGUGACUAAUUAUGUUGCAGUUUUUGCAUUACAAGCAUUAUUGCUUAGGAAAACAUUUUAAAUCAUACAAUCUUAAGUCUCUAUCUAGCAUUUAUUUAUAUAUGCACAUCCUCAAAAAAUGGAAGUGACCCAGGCCUGUUUCAAGCUCUGAGGGGUAUGAUCCAGUGUGUAAAUUACUUUAUACAUAAAUAGGAAUUCAAAAACAAAAUAAGUUUAUAAAUCUGUCCAAUUUGGGCUGCGUAUAACCACCAGUAGUACAUUCCAGAGAAAAUGUACUUCAUUUAAAGAGAUUUUUAGCUCACCCUAUGAUUUCCCAAUUCAAUUUUCUCUGAAGGAGGAGGUGUAAAUGUGAAGGGUAGGUGGGGAAGGAAGUGAGGUGUGAAGGAAGGGUUAGUUAUUGUGGGGGUAGAGGGAAGAAAAGUCCUGUGGGAGAAAAAAUAAGGAGUCCAGAUUUUAAUAAAGAAGAAGAAAGAAAGGAUGACCUAAGCUUUGGUGUUUGGUUAGAGUAGUGAUUGGCCUUUUUUUCUGCAAAAGUCCAGAGGGUCACAAUUCAACCUUGGCAGACCAUUUUGGCAUCUGUCUUCUGAUACUCAACUCUGCCAGGACAAUAGGGGCAUGGCUGUGUUCCAGUAAAAUUGGCCUGUGGGUGGUAUACCCUGGAUUUUCUUGAACAUAUACAAAGAAAUAUACUACAAUUAGAAAGAAUACAUACAACUUUGUUACUCCCGAUGAUCUAAACGUGGACAUGCUCCUGGUAAGAGAGAAGAAAGCGAAGUUUUAACAAUGAUGAACAUUUGCAUCUAUUUGGAAUUAUUCUUAAAUUUAGAGUUAUUAAAAGUUAGACAUUGGUUGAGAGAAAUAGAAAGCAUCAUAUUUGAAUAAAUUUAAUGAGAUGACCUCAUGAUUUUGUUUCUUGACUAGAUUCCAAAGAAAUUUUUUUCUUCUGAAAAUUCAGCAUAUUUUAAGCCCAAUGUUUUUAUUUGUUGGGUUCAGUAAUUUUCCUUAACAGUAAUAAUGUAAAAUUUGCAUUUGCACCUAUUUCAUAAUUUUGCCACCAGGACAACUUAAACAGAAACAUACAUGUGUUAAGAAUGGUGAUUUGGUCGGGCGCAGUUGCUCAAGCCUGUAAUCCCAGCACUUUGGGAGGCCGAGGAGGGUGGAUCAUGAGGUCAAGAGAUCGAGACCAUCCUGGUCAACAUGGUGAAACCCCGUCUCUACUAAAAACACAAAAAAAAUUAGCUGGGCAUGGUGGUGCGUGCCUGUAAUCCCAGCUACUCAUAACAAGAGCAAAACUCCGUCUCAAAAAAAAAAAAAAAAAAAGAAUGGUGAUUUGGAGCUACAAGUGCUCUUGAUUUUUAAGCUCAACAACAAGGUUUCAUUCUAGCCAUGUACAGGAGUAAUGAUUUUUACUCCUGAAUUUCUGCAAUAAAAAUAUCGAGACUAAGAAUUUACAGAAAGAUAUCAAGUAGGUUUGAAGACUUGCAAGUACAUAGGUAACACUUAGAAAAAAUAUUAUACUUGAGCCUUUCCCACAGUUAGUAGAUACUGGUACCUAUUGGUUAGUUGGUUAUCCAAGGUAUUGGCCUUAAAUGUUUUAGCAGCGUCCUUUCUGUCUGAGAUCCUUUAUAAAGAAACAAAACAAAAGUCUGGAUAAACAUUUAAGUUAUCAAACUCCUUUCAGACCUUUUUCAUGCUAGAAUAACUUAACAACAUAGCCUUUCUCUAGUAAAGAGAACCAUUGUUCAAGUGUUACAUUUUAGAAAAUUUUAAAAUACAAGGAAACUACUUAUGACAAAAUCUACUUAUAAGUUGUUUUAAUAUAGUUUGAAAUUUUAUUUUAUUUUAUUUUAUUUUAUUUUUUAUUUUUGUGAACUGGAGUCUUGCUCUGUUGCCCAGGCUGGAGUGCAGUAGUGUGAUUUCAGCUCACAGCAACCUCCACCCACAGGGUUCAACCUAUUCUCCUGCCUCAGCCUCCUGAGUAGCUGGAACUACAGGCAUGUGCCCUGAUUCCCAGCUAAUUUUUAUAGUUUUAGUAGAGACAAGGUUUCACCAUGUUGGCCACACUGGUCUCGAACUCCUGACCUCAGGUGACCUACCUGCCUCCCCCUCCCAAAGUGCUGAGAUUACAGCCAUGAGCCACUGCACCCAACCUGAAAUAUUAAAAGUGUUAUGCCUUUUGCCUGUCUUUCUGACUCAUUGAGCAUUUAACUCAUUAACUAUUUUAAUUUUCAUUAUUGUCUAAAGAUAUAUCUUGUCAAUGACUACUUCCUACGUCAGUGAAAGGCAGCAACAAAAUACUUAAAUUUUUUUAACUGUUUGUGGCAUAGACAAUAUUAUGUGUUUGCCAAAUACAUUUUCUUUUAUUUCUGAGUAAUCAGGGAUACCACAUUUCCUAACCAUCGUUGCAAUUGAGUUGGGACUAUGUGAUUGAGCUCUAGACUAAAGAGUGGGCAGACAUGUUAUCUGCUACUCCCGAACCCAUUGUAAAACCUCCUGGUGAUCUUCCAUGUUCUUUCUCCCCUCUUCUACUAUGGCUUUCGUAUGCAUGGGUUAAAGAUGGCAGCAUUCAAAUAUAGAAACAACUUAGGUCCUUGAGUCACUUCAUGGACUCCAGCAAAUUAUACUGGGCUCUGAUGAGUCAAGCAAUACCUUAUAGUGUGUUAAACCAUCUAGAAGAGGAAGGGGACUUGUUAAAAAGUUACUCUACCUUGACAAAUUAGUUUAUUUUGACUAAUACAUGUAAUGAGUCUAAAUUGUCAUUAGAAAUUUUAAUCAUUCUAAUCUCAUAGAUCUAGAAAAGGUGUGUUUAUUUGCUUUUUGUGUCAGAAAGCACAAAUAAGGAAGGUUAUCAUUCUAUACAAAUGGCGGGGUCUCAUAACUUCAGCCUCUGUUUUCUUUCCUUGUCUCUUACCUACUACUUUUUGCUGGUCAUUUGAUAUUCUUUUCUCUACUCUCCAGAACAUCCCUACAAGGUACGUGUAAUGAUUUUCAUUUUGUAGGUAAAGAAAUGGAGUCUCAGAGUCAUUUGUGUGGUUUUCUCUUGGCCACACAAGUAGAAAGUAGUCUAUCUCCCAAGUUGUUCACUGGGAUCCAAUGUCAUAUAUCUGAUUCUGUAGUAUGAUUGCUCCCCAAACUCAUAUAUUAGGUUAACACGCCUUCCUUUAGUCUUUGUUCUUCACCUCUCACAAUCUCUUUCAUGCCACCCAGGGGAAAAGUCUAUCAAUGGUAAUUGAGAGAACUCUAAACAACCAUUCCAAUACAUAUGCUGAUUUCUUAUUGCUGGGGGAGAUUAAUUUUGUAUUUUUCCUGGAAAUUAAAUUUUCUGUCAACUUGUGAUAUAAAAUAAGUGGUUUUAAUAAAAAUCGGUCUUGGAAA